UACAAUUUAACCUUAAUCUUACAAUUUAACUGUUUGAAUUUAGGCCUAUAAUAGGAAAAUUGUUGUGAUAUAAAUUUAGUAUAAUGUGUGAAAAUUCAGAAGAAGAAAUAUUGGAAAUGCUAAAUAGCAUCUUUACAAAAUGUGAUAUCGAUGGUAACGGAUUUGUAGACAUAAACACACUUAUACAUUUCCUCACUUGUCAAGAUUCUACAUGGCAAAAAGAUAAAACUAUUGAAGAGGAAUUCCGCAAAGUUCUGUGUUGCAAUGGAUUAAACCAAAGAAUUUCCAAAGAUCAUUUCAUCACAUCAUUGCUAGGCUGUAUAAAAUUAAAAACCCAAUCAUUUGAAAAAAACCACUACAAUGAGAAUCCUAAUCAGGAAGUUUCUGCAGAACAAUCUCCAGAAAUUGUGUUUGCCAGUGUGACAAACAAUAUCAUCAAUUCUGAAGUUUGCUUUGUUGCAGAUGGUCAAACUUUGACUAAUGAGGAUGUAGCAGAAGAGAUAUCAGUGUCUGACUGCGAGAGUUCCCCUGUAAAUAAACAGUUUCUGAAAUCCUUACAGAAUGAAAUACUUGCAGUACAGCGGAAAAAUGAAUACUUGGAGGGUAUUAAUAAUUCUCUUGUAAGUCAGAUUUCAUCCUUGGAAGAUGUAAUCAUGAAGAACGAAAAGGAAUCUGCCUCUUAUUCACAUAAGUUGUUGGUCAGCCAACAGCUUUUGGAAAUGCAGAAACAAAAACAAGAAGAGAUUGAAGAAAAACUUUCUCUAUUUGUUGACAACAACAAAUCAGUCACCAUCCAGCUGUCUCAUGCUGAGAGAGAAAAUUCAAAGCUGAAAGAGUUGCUAUUAAACCUGGAAAAGCAGGCUGAUUUGAAAUUAUCUGAAAAGUUGUUUCAAGACACAAAACUCAAGGACAUCAAAGAGAAGUACAAUAUAUUAAAUGAUUUAUUCUCAAAGUCUCAAGAAGAGUUGGAAAGUUUGAAAAUGAAAGAUAAAACAGGGGAAGAGAUGUAUGAGCAACUGGUAGAACAGAAUACAAACCUUAGGUUGCAGUUAGAUUCAAGUGAUUGUCUUGUUCAGGACCUGAAAUCUCAGUUAGCUGCUACUUGCAAAGAAUUAUCUAAUUUACAUAACAAGAAAAUCAAAGCUAAGACACAGACCUCUACACCCUCUGAUAACCAAAGUGCUGACAAUUCAAUGAUUUUUUUUAGAUGAAAAUUUUACUCUUGAUAGUACAAUACCGUUUGAGAGAUCACUUCUGGCUGAGUUACAAGACAAGGAAAAUCAAAAGCCUUGCUCGUGUGAUUGUUUGAAAGACUUGCCUUUUACUACAAGCUCCCCUGUGUCUUCGGAGAAAUCUCACGUUACAAAAUCAGAAGUCGCAGUUGGCACAGAGGAGAAGACAGUCUCACACCAA
rnacentral:misc_RNA from 1 species